GACGAACGCUGGCGGCGUGCUUAACACAUGCAAGUCGAACGGUAAGGCUCCAGCUUGCUGGGGUACACGAGUGGCGAACGGGUGAGUAACACGUGGGUGACCUGCCCUGCACUUCGGGAUAAGCCUGGGAAACUGGGUCUAAUACCGGAUAGGACCAUGGUGUGGAUACUGUGGUGGAAAGUUUUUUCGGUGUGGGAUGGGCCCGCGGCCUAUCAGCUUGUUGGCGGGGUAAUGGCCUACCAAGGCGGCGACGGGUAGCCGGCCUGAGAGGGUGGACGGCCACAUUGGGACUGAGACACGGCCCAGACUCCUACGGGAGGCAGCAGUGGGGAAUAUUGCACAAUGGGCGGAAGCCUGAUGCAGCGACGCCGCGUGGGGGAUGACGGCCUUCGGGUUGUAAACUCCUUUCACCAUCGACGAAGGGUUUCUGACGGUAGAUGGAGAAGAAGCACCGGCUAACUACGUG
rnacentral:rRNA from 1 species